GCUGAAGGUAUGUAACCAAUGAACACGCUGAACCUUCCUUAGACUACUGGCUGAAGGUAUGUAAACCAAUGAACACGCUGAACCUUCCUUAGACUACUGGCUGAAGGUAUGUAAACCAAUGAACACGCUGAAACUUCCUUAGACUACUGGCUGAAGGUAUGUUAACCAAUGAACACGCUGAACCUUCCUUAGACUACUG